UAACAUUGUCGUAGAGGAACA
rnacentral:piRNA from 1 species